rnacentral:RNase_P_RNA from 1 species
GCGGGGAGGAAAGUCCGGGCUCCGCAGAGCAGGAUGCCGGCUAACGGCCGGAGGCCGUGAGGCCAUGGAAAGUGAUACAGAGACUCAGACCGCCGAAGUGCUGCGUCAGCAGCGCUGGCAAGGGUGAAAAGGUGCGGUAAGAGCGCACCGCGGACGCGGCAACGCGGACGGCAUGUUAAACCCCAUCCGGAGCAAGGCCAAAUAGGGAAGCAAUCGCGUGGCUCGCGCGGCUUCCGGGUAGGUUGCUUGAGCAACCGGGUAACCGGUUGCCUAGAGGAAUGGCUGCCCUCGACAGAACCCGGCUUACAGGCCAGCUUCCCAU